UACAGAGGUCUCAAGCGUUGUUCGGAUUCAUUGGGCGUAAAGGGUGCGUAGGUGGCGCCGUAAGUCAGGUGUGAAAUUUCGGAGCUUAACUCCGAAACUGCAUUUGAUACUGGCGUGCUUGAGGACUGGAGAGGAGACUGGAAUUCAUGGUGUAGCAGUGAAAUGCGUAGAGAUCAUGAGGAAGACCAGUGGCGAAGGCGGGUCUCUGGACAGUUCCUGACACUGAGGCACGAAGGCCAGGGGAGCAAACGGG
rnacentral:rRNA from 1 species